rnacentral:rRNA from 1 species
GACGAACCGUGCGAAUGUUGUUCGGAAUCACUGGGCUUAAAGGGCGCGUAGGCGGGCUGCCAAGUCCGUGGUGAAAUCCUCCAGCUUAACUGGAGAACUGCCGCGGAUACUGGCGGCCUCGAGGGAGGCAGGGGCAUGCGGAACUGUGCGUGGAGCGGUGAAAUGCGUUGAUAUGCACAGGAACUCCGGUGGCGAAGGCGGCGUGCUGGUCCUUUUCUGACGCUGAGGCGCGAAAGCUAGGGGAGCGAACGGG